rnacentral:rRNA from 1 species
UACGUAGGGUGCGAGCGCUGUCCGGAAUUACUGGGCGUAAAGCGCGUGUAGGCGGCCCGGUAAGUCCGCUGUGAAAGUCCAGGGCUCAACCCUGGGAUGCCGGUGGAUACUGUCGGGCUCGAGACCGGAAGAGGCGAGUGGAAUUCCUGGUGUAGCGGUGAAAUGCGCAGAUAUCAGGAGGAACACCAAUGGCGAAGGCAGCUCGCUGGGACGUGACUGACGCUGAGACGCGAAAGCGUGGGGAGCAAACAGG